rnacentral:rRNA from 1 species
AUGGCGCCGCCGUUCCUCAAGACCGGGCACGGCCGCGACUCCAGGUUCUCCUUCAGGCGGCGCAAGUCCGGGAAGGCGUCGUCGACGCCCUCGUCGCCGCUCUCGUCGGUUUCGUCCUCGGCGUCGUCGGAGGACGUGGUCCUCGACCCUGGAAGCCCGACGAUGGAGCCGUCGACCAAGACCCAGACGCUGCCGUGCGCCAGGAGGAUGCUCUCCCGGAGCAGCUGCGGGUCCAGGGGCAAGCUUUCGGUCGACCUCAUCCCGGCGCCGCUCGCCGGCGGCCCGUCCGACGCGCCCAGGCCGUCCACGUCGGCCGCGCCGCCCCCCAAGCCCGCGCCCCGGCCCGAGGGCCCGCCAUCAGACAUGGACAUGGUGAAGGAGAAGUUCUCCAAGCUGCUGCUGGGGGAGGACAUGUCCGGCAGCGGCAAAGGAGUCUCCUCGGCUCUUGCUCUGUCCAAUGCCAUCACCAAUCUUGCAGCUUCCGUGUUCGGUGAGCAGCGGCGUCUCCAACCGAUGGCCCCUGAGCCGAAGGCUCGGUGGACAAAGGAGAUCGACUGGCUUCUCUCUGUCACCGAUUUCAUCGUCGAGUUUGUUCCUUCACGCCAGGUGGCCGAGGAUGGCAGCACCAUGGAGGUUAUGAUAACUCAGCAACGCAGAGACCUGCUGAUGAACAUCCCGGCAUUGCGCAAGCUUGACGGAAUGCUCCUUGACUAUCUCGAUAGUUUCGGCGACAAGCAGGAGUUUUGGUAUGUGAAGAAAAAUGACAAUGAAUCUGAGAAGGGCGACGCGGCGGAGCAGAGUGACAAAUGGUGGCUCCCGACGGUCAAGGUCCCUCCCGAGGGUCUGUCAGACUCGACGAGGAGAUGGCUUCAGCACCAGAAGGAGCUCGUCAACCAAGUCUUGAAGGCAACAAUGGCCAUCAAUGCUAAUGUUCUCAUGGAGAUGGAUGUUCCAGAAGCUUACAUGGAGACUCUGCCUAAGAAUGGGAAAUCCACCCUCGGGGACUCGAUGUACAAGCUUAUAACCGACGAUUAUUUCAACCCCGAAGAACUCAUAGCAACGGUUGACCUGUCAAAUGAGUACAACAUUGUUGAUCUGAAGAACCGGAUUGAAGCGUCGGUCGUCAUUUGGCAAAAGAAAAUGCAGCGGGACGGCAAGUGGGGCCAUGGCGUCAGCCACGAGAAGCGGGGCCGGUUCGAGGGGAGGGCGGAGAACGUUCUUCUCCUCCUCAAGCACAGGUUUCCAGGGAUUUCCCAAUCAGCUCUGGACAUCAGCAAAAUCCAAUACAACAGGGAUGUUGGGAGUGCCAUUCUGGAGAGCUACUCAAGGACGCUCGAGAGCCUAGCCUACACCGUCAUGUCCCGCAUCGAGGACGUUCUCCAUGCCGACUCCCUCACCCAAGACCCCAAGCAAGGGGACUCGUUGCGGAUGCCGAGCUUGACAUCCGAUGACACGGACACGGUGGUCCAAGACGCCAAGGACGAGAUGGGGAGGCUGGGAAGAAUGGAGCCGGUUAACUCGACAUUGUUCGACUACGUGGGGCCUCGGGAUGGCACCAUCGAGACCAUGAUACUAGAAUCACAGGAUCCCCAGGGCAAGAAGCUGAGCAAGGUCUCGAAGAUCGGCACCAAGAGGUACUCCUACCUGGACAAGCUUGAGAACCUGGGCGGAGCACGCAGCCCCAUAUCUAGACACUAG